UACAGAGGUCUCAAGCGUUGUUCGGAUUCAUUGGGCGUAAAGAGCUCGUAGGCGGUUUGUCGCGUCUGCCGUGAAAGUCCGGGGCUCAACUCCGGAUCUGCAGUGGGUACGGGCAGACUAGAGUGUGGUAGGGGAGACUGGAAUUCCUGGUGUAGCGGUGAAAUGCGCAGAUAUCAGGAGGAACACCGAUGGCGAAGGCAGGUCUCUGGGCCACUACUGACGCUGAGAAGCGAAAGCUGGGGAGCGAACAGG
rnacentral:rRNA from 1 species